GCUAAAAAGCUAGCCUUCCCCCAAAAAACAACCAACCAAUAUUUAUAACCCAAAACAAAUUAAUUAACCCUAAUAACAAACCAUUUUCCCUCCUUAGUAUAGGCGAUAGAAAAGGAACCUUAGAGCAAUAGUGAAAGUACCGCAAGGGAACGCUGAAAGAGAAAUGAAACAACCCAGUUAAGCCUAGAAAAGCAGAGAUUCUGACUCGUACCUUUGGCAUCAUG
rnacentral:rRNA from 1 species